AACAAAAACAUAGUAUAGAGAGUACACAUUCUAUAUAUUGUCUGCCCAGUGCUAAUAUGUAAAAGGCCGUAGGUAGUAUUACGCUAAGGUAGCAUAUAAUACCCCUCCCAAUUAGAGGAUAGAAUGAAAGGAGCCAUGCUACAAUAGGGACUACUCAACCUUACCAAUUAAACUUAUCUUGGGGUGAAAAAGCCCCAAUAAAAUAAAAAGACAAAAAGUCCCUAGAAGCUUAUCUCAGGAUCCUAAUCCCAAAGUCCAGAAAAUUCGUUGGGGCAACGCAUCACAUAGAUAAAUAGAAGACCCCAUGUCUCACUGAUAACCACAAUAAAACUCUACAAGCUACUCUAGGGAUAACAGGCUAAUAAAGUUUCUAAAGCUCACAUUUACAAACUUGCUUGGCACCUCGAUGUUGGCUUAGGACUCCUAGUUGCUGAAGAAGGUAAAACAGGUGGUUCGUUCAACCAUAAAAGUCCCACAUGAUCUGAGUUCAAACCGGAGA
rnacentral:rRNA from 1 species